GAGGGUAGAGCUCAGCGGCAGAGCACAUGCUUAGCAUGCACAAGGUCCUGGGUUCAAAGCCCAGUACCUCCA
rfam:Camelus ferus unplaced genomic scaffold scaffold823, whole genome shotgun sequence.